rfam:Picea glauca, whole genome shotgun sequence.
ACAACGGUGUCUUUAGACACCACCACUUCUCUCAGGGAAGCUCUAG